rnacentral:rRNA from 1 species
AGAGUUUGAUCCUGGCUCAGAACGAACGCUGGCGGCAGGCCUAACACAUGCAAGUCGAACGCCCCGCAAGGGGAGUGGCAGACGGGUGAGUAACACGUGGGAACGUGCCCUAAGGUUCGGAAUAUUCCCGGGAAACUGGGAGCAAUACCGAAUGUGACCGCAAGGUGAAAGAUUUAUCGCCUUAGGAUCGGCCCGCGUCGGAUUAGCUAGUUGGUGGGGUAAAAGCCUACCAAGGCGACGAUCCGUAGCUGGUCUGAGAGGACGACCAGCCACACUGGGACUGAGACACGGCCCAGACUCCUACGGGAGGCAGCAGUGGGGAAUCUUGGACAAUGGGCGCAAGCCUGAUCCAGCCAUGCCGCGUGGAUGAUGAAGGCCCUAGGGUUGUAAAAUCCUUUCGUCAGGGACGAUAAUGACGGUACCUGAAGAAGAAGCCCCGGCUAACUUC